UACGGAGGGUGCUAGCGUUGUUCGGAAUUACUGGGCGUAAAGGGCGCGUAGGCGGUCCGCUAAGUUGGAUGUGAAAACUCUGGGCUCAACCCAGAGCCUGCAUUCAAAACUGACGGGCUAGAGUUCUGGAGGGGGUAGCGGAAUUCCUGGUGUAGCGGUGAAAUGCGUAGAUAUCAGGAGGAACACCGGUGGCGAAGGCGGAUCUCUGGGCCUGUUCUGACGCUGAGGCGCGAAAGCUAGGGGAGCGAACAGG
rnacentral:rRNA from 1 species